rnacentral:rRNA from 1 species
UACAGAGGUGGCAAGCGUUGUUCGGAAUUACUGGGCGUAAAGGGCGCGUAGGCGGCCUUCUAAGUCAGACGUGAAAUCCCCCGGCUUAACCUGGGAACUGCGUCUGAUACUGGGAGGCUUGAGUAUGGGAGAGGGAUGUAGAAUUCCAGGUGUAGCGGUGAAAUGCGUAGAUAUCGGGAGGAACACCUGAGGCGAAGGCGGGCUACUGGGCCGAUACUGACGCUGAUGCGCGAAAGCCAGGGGAGCAAACGGG